UACGGAGGGUGCAAGCGUUAUCCGGAUUCACUGGGUUUAAAGGGUGCGUAGGCGGGCAGGUAAGUCAGUGGUGAAAUCUCCGAGCUUAACUUGGAAACUGCCGUUGAUACUAUCUGUCUUGAAUGCUGUGGAGGUAAGCGGAAUAUGUCAUGUAGCGGUGAAAUGCUUAGAUAUGACAUAGAACACCUAUUGCGAAGGCAGCUUACUACGCAUAUAUUGACGCUGAGGCACGAAAGCGUGGGGAUCAAACAGG
rnacentral:rRNA from 1 species